CUAUAAUGGAGAGUUUGAUCCUGGCUCAGGACGAACGCUGGCGGCGUGCCUAAUACAUGCA
rnacentral:rRNA from 1 species